rnacentral:lncRNA from 1 species
UUGUGCACUGUGGUGUGGCUGGAGAAGAAGCAGCCUGUGGCAGCAGCCAAACGCGACUUUGCGUUAUGUGCCAAAUAUGAGGGCGUGAAGUGUUCUACGAUGAAUUUUGGCCAAUUCGUUGUGAUGUGUGGCAGCCCAAUGGCAGCGCGUGUAGAGGCGUGCGAACUUUCGGUGGUUGCACAAAGUGAGUCCCAAAAACCCGAUUCAAGUAGGUGAGUUAAAAAAUCCUGAUGGUUUACCGUUUUAAAUUUAAGGUUAAUUAAUCAUAUUUAAUUUUAACACGGUAAAUUAUUUACUCGAUUUAG